AUCUCCACAGCGCUUUCUUUAAAAAUGUUAUUUCUCUCCCCAUUUUGACAAGCAACUGCAUGGCGGAGGAGCAGAAUUUGAAGGAGCCUUGUUAUGGAAAGUGUGCUCGCCCCUGCCGAGGGUGGCUGUGCACGUCGUGCGUGUGUGUGGACAGGCAUCCGUGUGGACCCACACCAGCGGGCAUGCCGAGGGGCUGCCAGCUGACCCCGAAGCGGCCCUCGGCACUUUUUACUGCUUUAAAAAAGUGUAGGAGAGCACCAUUGUCAAGUUCUGAGCAGCAGUCCGUGCCUUCGUGUUGAGGGAUCGCC
rnacentral:lncRNA from 1 species